UACGUAGGGGGGCAAGCGUUAUUCGGAUUCACUGGGCGUAAAGGGUGCGCAGGCGGCCAAGUGUGUGAGGCGUGAAAGCCUGGGGCUUAACCUGGGAACGGCCGUUGAAACUGGCGAACUGGAGUGUGGCAGAGGGGGGGUGGAAUUCCGCGUGUAGCAGUGAAAUGCGUAGAUAUGCGGAGGAACACCGAUGGCGAAGGCAAUCCCCUGGGCCUGCACUGACGCUCAUGCACGAAAGCGUGGGGAGCAAACAGG
rnacentral:rRNA from 1 species